rnacentral:rRNA from 1 species
AUUGAACGCUGGCGGCAUGCCUUACACAUGCAAGUCGAACGGUAACAGGUUAAGCUGACGAGUGGCGAACGGGUGAGUAAUGUAUCGGAACGUGCCCAGUCGUGGGGGAUAACUGCUCGAAAGAGCAGCUAAUACCGCAUACGACCUGAGGGUGAAAGCGGGGGAUCGCAGGACCUCGCGCGAUUGGAGCGGCCGAUAUCAGAUUAGGUAGUUGGUGGGGUAAAGGCCUACCAAGCCUACGAUCUGGAGCUGGGCUGAGAGGAAGACCAGCCACACGGGGACUGAGACACGGCCCAGACUCAUACGGGAGGCAGCAGUGGGGAAUUUUGGACAAUGGACGCAAGUCUGAUCCAGCCAUGCCGCGGGCGGGAAGAAGGCCUUCGGGUUGUAAACCGCUUUUGUCAGGGAAGAAAAGGUUCUGGUUAAUACCUGGGACUCAUGACGGUACCUGAAGAAUAAGCACCGGCUAACUACGUGCCAGCAGCCGCCGUAACAC